rnacentral:sRNA from 1 species
CUGCUGUGGGCAGAUGAAGUGGAUGUGGCUGUCGAUGCCGCCCGCGGUGACGAUGUUGCCCUCGCAGCUGAUGACCUCGGUGCCGGGGCCGAUGAUGAUGUCCACGCCCGGUUGCGUGUCGGGGUUGCCGGCCUUGCCGAUGGAGGCGAUGCGGCCCGCGCGCAGGCCGAUGUCGGCCUUGAAGAUGCCGGUGUGGUCUACCACCAGGGCGUUGGUCAGCACUGUGUCCACCGCGCCGCCACCGGAGGGGCCUGUUCCAGUCCC